AAUGAACGUUGGCGGCGUGGAUUAGGCAUGCAAGUCGUGCGGAAAGGCUCCUUCGGGAGUACUCGAGCGGCGCAAGGGAGAGUAACGCGUGGAUAUCUACCCCCUGGACUGGGAUAGCGGCGGGAAACUGCCGGUAAUACCAGAUAAUGUCUGCGGACCAAAGGUGUGAUUCCGCCGGGGGAUGAGUUCGCGUCCUAUUAGCUAGUUGGUAGGGUAAUGGCCUACCAAGGCAAAGAUGGGUACCGGGUGUGAGAGCAUGGCCCGGCUCACUGGGACUGAGACACUGCCCAGACACCUACGGGUGGCUGCAGUCGAGAAUCUUCGGCAAUGGGCGCAAGCCUGACCGAGCGACGCCGCGUGCGGGAUGAAGGCCUUCGGGUUGUAAACCGCUGUCAGAGGGGAGGAAAUGCGUGAGAGUUCUCUCUCACGUUUGACCUAUCCUCAGAGGAAGUACGGGCUAAGUUCGUGCCAGCAGCCGCGGUAAGAC
rnacentral:rRNA from 1 species